UCCUCCUUAGCUCAGUUGGUAGAGCGCGUCACUCGCAUUGGAUAUGCGUUUCGGUAUCGAUUGUUAAUGACGAGGCAGUCGUUCAAGUCGACUAGAAGGAA
rnacentral:tRNA from 1 species